rnacentral:tRNA from 1 species
GCUUCUGUGGCUUAGCCUGGUAUAGCGACUGCCUCGUAAGCAGUAGACCGGGAGUUCAAAUCUCCCCAGAAGCU